GUCCUUGGAUCGAUUCGAUCGUUUCUACGUUGCAUUCUUCAUCGCCGAUUUGCUGAUUUUCCGGUCAACCGUUUUCCGGCAAUGACUCUCAUGACUCCUCCUCCAGUUGAACAGCCUGAAGACGAGGAGAUGCUUGUUCCUAAUUCAGAUUUUCCUGUAGAAGGUCCGCAGCCUAUGGAAGUUGCUACUGCGGAUACGGCUAGUACGGUGGAGGGUCCACAAGUGGAUGAUCCGCCAUCUGGUAGGUUUGCGUGGACGAUAGAGAAAUUUUCGAGGUUGAAUGUAAAGAAGCUAUACUCGGAAGUUUUCAAUGUGGGAGGAUAUAAAUGGAGGAUCUUGAUAUUCCCUAAAGGUAACAAUGCGGACCAAUUGUCAUUGUAUUUGGAUGUUGCCGAUUCACCGUCAUUGCCUUAUGGUUGGAGUAGAUAUGCUCAUUUUAGCUUAGGUGUGCUCAACCAAGCUCAUACCAAGUUUACAGUGAGGAAAGACACUCAGCACCAGUUUAAUGCAAGGGAGAGUGACUGGGGUUUCACAUCUUUCAUGCCUUUAAGUGAAUUAUAUGAUCCCAGCAGAGGUUUUAUUAUGGAUGAUACUGUUAUUGUUGAAGCUGAUGUUUCUGUUCGUAAGGUUGCUGAUUACUGGUCCCAUGACUCU
rnacentral:misc_RNA from 1 species